rnacentral:rRNA from 1 species
GAUGAACGCUGGCGGCGUGCCUAAUACAUGCAAGUCGAGCGAACGGACGAGAAGCUUGCUUCUCUGAUGUUAGCGGCGGACGGGUGAGUAACACGUGGAUAACCUACCUAUAAGACUGGGAUAACUUCGGGAAACCGUAGCUAAUACCGGAUAAUAUUUUGAACCGCAUGGUUCAAAAGUGAAAGACGGUCUUGCUGUCACUUAUAGAUGGAUCCGCGCUGCAUUAGCUAGUUGGUAAGGUAACGGCUUACCAAGGCAACGAUGCAUAGCCGACCUGAGAGGGUGAUCGGCCACACUGGAACUGACACACGGUCCAGACUCCUACGGGAGGCAGCAGUAGGGAAUCUUCCGCAAUGGGCGAAAGCCUGACGGAGCAACGCCGCGUGAGUGAUGAAGGUCUUCGGAUCGUAAAACUCUGUUAUUAGGGAAGAACAUAUGUGUAAGUAACUGUGCACAUCUUGACGGUACCUAAUCAGAAAGACACGGCUAACUACGUG